rnacentral:rRNA from 1 species
AUGUUGUGUCUUGCAGGUAAGGUAAAGGAGGCCCAGCAGAAGAAAGACCUUGAGCUAGCUGAGAAGAUCAAGCUUGCUGACGAGAAGUUAGCUUCAGUCACCAAGCUUGAACAGGACAAUACCAACCUGAAAACUGCUCUUGGGAUUGCCAACAAAGAAGUCAGUCGACUGAGAACCGACAAAGCUGCCUUGACCGAUCAAGUCAGCAAAUUGACUGAGAAGAAGACUGCGCUGGAGGCCUUCCUGAGUGGCUUUGCCAAGAAGCUGUUUCUUAUGCUCGAAGGUAAACCUCCAUGUUUGGCAAAUAUUUCUGACUGUGGUUUCUUCCACUCGACUAUCCCCUUGACUUAG